CUUGACUUCUGUAUCAAGGUGGGAAUCGUUUGCAGCCAUCAGUCAUCCAUCUGUGAUGACAACAGCAAGACACAAAGACAUUCUCUCGUAGGUUUAUAAAUAAUAGUUUAGCAAAAGCUCUUCCUGUGUUGAGGAACCUCAGACCUGCCUUACAGGGUGUAAGAAAUGAGGAGUGAAAGGCCCAGAGAAGCUUGGGGCAGAUAUAGGAAGAGAGGCAGUGUGAGGCAGCACCACAUCUGCUCCACACGUGAUCUGGCCAAGCCCAGUUCAGCUGCCAAGCCAGAAGCUGUGUGUAAGAUCACAACAAGGAGUGACCCUUGCCUUGGUGAAGCCAACAGCAGUCAUCGCAGGCAGAUCUACCUGUCAGGGACGGGAGACUCUGCACCCACAUCUCUCCACCCAGAGAUCAGAGUCUGGAGGAGACAGAAGCUCCAUUCCUGUUGGUCCUGCCAUGGCUCCUGGGCUGCUCCACUGUGUGGCCUUUUGUCUCCUUGGAGCAGGUCCCAUGGGUGCCAUGGUCAUCCAGAGCCCAAGAUACCAGAUUACGAGGGUGGGGAAACCAGUGAAUCUGAGCUGUUCUCAGAAUAUGAAUCAUGACAACAUGUAUUGGUACCAACAGAAGCUGAACCAAGCCCCAAAGCUGCUCCUCUACUUCUAUGAUACAGACUUUAACAGAGAAGCAGAAACCUCUGAAAACUUCCAGGCUAGCCAGCACAACACUUCUUUCUGUUCUCUCAACAUCCUCUCGCCAGGCUUGGGGGACUCAGGAGUGUAUCUCUGUGCCAGCAGGAAUGGACAGUAUAAUUUGUAUAAUGUAUCAACUUUAUUGAUGAACUUGACAAUCUUCUAA